UACGUAGGAGACGAGCGUUGUCCGGAGUUACUGGGCGUAAAGGGUGCGCAGGCGGCCUGGCGCGUCGCGAGUGAAAUCUCCUGGCUCAACUGGGAGGGUGGUCGCGAGACGGCUGGGCUUGAGGCUCGGUGAGGGGCGUGGAAUUCCGGGUGGAGCGGUGAAAUGCGUAGAGAUCCGGAGGAACACCGACGGCGUAGGCAGCGCCCUAGACGAGACCUGACGCUCAGGCACGAAAGCGCGGGGGGCGAACAGG
rnacentral:rRNA from 1 species